UCUUGGAACGGAAAACUUGUUUUAUCCUCUAAAGAGGAAGGGAAUCCGGUUCAAAUCCGGAGCUGAACCCGCAGCUGUAAUCGUCGAACAAGAUUUCGCAAAUAAAAGCCACUGCGUAAAACGCGGGAAGGCAGCGAAAUUGACGAAAGCCAGAAGACCUAACGAGUUAAAAUACAAACU
rnacentral:ncRNA from 2 species